rnacentral:RNase_MRP_RNA from 2 species
GAUGCACCUAUAGAAUUGUAAUCAAAGCUCACAAAUGGAUCGUUCAUAAGACAAACGAUAGGUAUAUAGCUAACAGACUAUAACACAGUAUAGUGCUUUGGGAAAAUUCCUCAGACCCUACGAUAGAAAUUAUCAGCAGUGAUUGCAUUGUAACUUCGAAUUUCAUGUCAUUCGUUUCAACGGAGAAGGUCGCCAGCUAGACUGGAGUUCACAAGUGCCGAAUGUCGUCGUUACCUUGGUCAUAGUAAUAGAAUAAUACAAUUAAGUGCUCUUGUACACGAUGGUUCCUCGUAAAGAAGUUCUUGUCGUCAAAGCACUCAACUCAAUGAGGCUUACUCAGACGGUGCAU